UACGAAGGGGGGCGAGCGUUAUUCGGAAUCACUGGGCGUAAAGCGUGCGUAGGCGGUUUUGUAAGUUGGAAGUGAAAGCCCAGGGCUUAACCUUGGAAUUGCUUUCAAAACUACAAGACUCGAAUCUCGGAGAGGAUAGCGGAAUUGUCAGUGUAGCAGUGAAAUGCGUAGAUAUUGACAGGAACACCAGUGGCGCAAGCGGCUAUCUGGACGAGUAUUGACGCUGAGGCACGAAAGCGUGGGGAUCAAACAGG
rnacentral:rRNA from 1 species